rnacentral:rRNA from 1 species
AUUGAACGCUGGCGGCAGGCCUAACACAUGCAAGUCGAACGAGUGGCGGACGGGUGAGUAAUGUCUGGGAAACUGCCCGAUGGAGGGGGAUAACUACUGGAAACGGUAGCUAAUACCGCAUACCAUCGGAUGUGCCCAGAUGGGAUUAGCUAGGAGGUGGGGUAACGGCUCCCCUAGGCGACGAUCCCUAGCUGGUCUGAGAGGAUGACCAGCCACACUGGAACUGAGACACGGUCCAGACACCGACGGGAGGCAGCAGUGGGGAAUAUUGCACAAUGGGCGCAAGCCUGAUGCAGCCAUGCCGCGGGUAGGAAGAAGGCCUUCGGGUUGUAAAGUACUUUCAGCGAGGAGGCGUUUCUCGCAGAAGAAACACCGGCUUACUCCGUGCCAGCAGCCGCGGUAAUUC